rnacentral:rRNA from 1 species
UACAGAGGAGCCAAGCGUUGUCCGGAUUGACUGGGCGUAAAGCGCACGCAGGCGGCUGCGCGCGUGGGGUGUGAAAUCUGGCCGCUUAACGGCCAGGCGCCAUCCCAUACGGCGCGUCUGGAGUGAUGCAGAGGUCGAUGGAAUUGCCGGUGUAGUGGUGAAGUGCGUAGAGAUCGGCAGGAACACCCAGGGGGAAACCAGUCGACUGGGCAUCUACUGACGCUGAGGUGCGAGAGCGUGGGGAGCGAACCGG